UUUUUAGAGUUUCAUUUAUCGAUAAAAAGGUCAUAAAUCAUGCUAUGUUUCGGGUCAAAGAAGAGCAAAACCAACCAGUGUCUACUUGUGUUGUUCCAUUGCUAAGCAUGUGUGGACUCAACACUAUUUUGUAGGAAACAACCAAGAGAACAUAGCCUGCAAAGUAUAGACGAUUAUCUCUAAUCCAUAUGAAUAACAUGUUGUGCUGACUUAAAUUUGUCAAGAAAAUCAAUUGACUCAGUGCUCCUUGAAUUGUUUAGUUUAUAUAAGGAGGAUAAUGAGUUGAAUUUAGAUAGCACUUUUUUAUAAUGACAGUCUACAUUCAUUCCAAUACAACCAACAUUAUGGUCCUGUAUCGCCUAGUGUACUAAGACAAGAUAUUUUCGUUUGUAUGUUGGAUUCGUAGAUAGAUCAUCUAGCCUUAAAGUUAUGAGUUUGCUUGAAUUCAACAACAACAACAUAUCUAGUGAAAUUCCACAAAGAUGGGUCUGGGGAGGGUAGAGUGUACGCAAGACCUUACCACUACCUCAUGGAGGUAGAGAUGCUAUUUUCGAAAGACACUCAAAUCAAGCCUUGGGUUGUAUCCAAAGAGGAUGGGUAAUGAUGGGUAACCAAUAGGACUCCAGUCACCUCAUCUAGUACAGUUGGCAAUGGGGACAAUGACCAUCAAAUCUGGAUUGUACCUUAAGAGGAUGGGUAAUAAGACUAACUUUUAAUAAUACAUUUGCUUAGCUGAAUUGUUUAUCUGUUUAUAUGUUUGAUGACUACUAUAUUUUAUAUAGGUUUGUUCCUCACAAGAUAGUUAUUGAAGGCAUUGCUAGUUGGAUUCGUAGUAAAUUUGAAUUGGCUAGACCCUUAUGAAAGAAGUUUCCAGAAUCUACUCAUGAUAUGUGGUUUGAGGAACUCAAGGUAAGGACACUAUACACAUAUGAUACAUCAAGUCAUAUGAUUUCGAUGUUAACCUGAGUUAUUGCUUAUUGCCUUCACUAAUUUCCUGUCAAUCUCGUUAGGAUCUUUUGUUUGGUUCAUUUUAGCUCUUGCUUCUCUUAUUUAAUUCUUCAUCUUGCUCAUUGGGUUGUUGAGUUUCACUUUCAUGGACAUUAAGGUUUUAACUUCUCGACAUAUCUAGUUAGGUUUAGUUUUCAUUUUUGGUAUGUUUUUGGGGCUAGCUGUUAAGUCUUAGUUCGGUUAAUGGUUAAUGUUCUAGAGGCAAUCACUUUUUCCUCUAGUUUCUUAUGUAGCGUAUGUGUUUAAAUCUUUUGUUAAUCACCCAUACAUUUGUAUGUGAUCUUGUGUCUUGUUCAAAGAUUUCUUCUUCCUCUUCAGAUUAUGUACAAUCGUUGGUGACGUUGGAUUCUGUGCAAGGAAUUGGAGAGAAUAACUUGUAUCUUAUUCAAUAGGUGAACCUGUAUAAAUACAAUAAUAUUAGAAGCUUACUAAGGACAGAAAUAAAGAGGAAAUCCUAAAGAUAUGCUAUUUAUCUAUAUCUUUGUACAAUAUCAAGAAAGAGAUCUAUAUACAUUCUGUAACACUCCCCCUCAAGCUGGAGCAUGUAUAUUGAUCAUGCGCAACUUGUUACAAAGGUAAUUUACCCGAGC
rnacentral:lncRNA from 1 species